UAGUCGAACGCACCUUCGGGUGAGUGGCGGACGGGUGAGUAACGCGUGAGAAUCUGCCCUCAGGAGGGGGAUAACGGCUGGAAACGGCCGCUAAUACCCCAUAUGCCGCGAGGUGAAACGAGUUUUCGCCUGAGGAUGAGCUCGCGUCUGAUUAGCUAGUUGGUGGGGUAAGAGCCUACCAAGGCAUCGAUCAGUAGCUGGUCUGAGAGGAUGAUCAGCCACACUGGGACUGAGACACGGCCCAGACUCCUACGGGAGGCAGCAGUGGGGAAUUUUCCGCAAUGGGCGAAAGCCUGACGGAGCAACGCCGCGUGAGGGAUGAAGGCCUCUGGGCUGUAAACCUCUUUUCUCAAGGAAGAAGAUCUGACGGUACUUGAGGAAUAAGCCACGGCUAAUUCCGUGCCAGCAGCCGCGGUAAUACGGGAGUGGCAAGCGUUAUCCGGAAUUAUUGGGCGUAAAGCGUCCGCAGGCGGUCUUGAAAGUCUGUUGUUAAAGCGUGGAGCUUAACUCCAUUUCAGCAAUGGAAACUAGAAGACUAGAGUGUGGUAGGGGCAGAGGGAAUUCCCGGUGUAGCGGUGAAAUGCGUAGAUAUCGGGAAGAACACCAGUGGCGAAGGCGCUCUGCUGGGCCAUAACUGACGCUCAUGGACGAAAGCCAGGGGAGCGAAAGGGAUUAGAUACCCCUGUAGUCCUGGCCGUAAACGAUGAGCACUAGGUGUCGGGGGAAUCGACCCCCUCGGUGUCGUAGCCAACGCGUUAAGUGUUCCGCCUGGGGAGUACGCACGCAAGUGUGAAACUCAAAGGAAUUGACGGGGGCCCGCACAAGCGGUGGAGUAUGUGGUUUAAUUCGAUGCAACGCGAAGAACCUUACCGGGGUUUGACAUCCUGCGAAUCCCUUGGAAACGAGGGAGUGCCUUCGGGAGCGCAGAGACAGGUGGUGCAUGGCUGUCGUCAGCUCGUGUCGUGAGAUGUUGGGUUAAGUCCCGCAACGAGCGCAACCCACGUCUUUAGUUGCCAGCAUUCAGUUGGGCACUCUAGAGAGACCGCCGGUGAUAAACCGGAGGAAGGUGUGGAUGACGUCAAGUCAUCAUGCCCCUUACAUCCUGGGCUACACACGUACUACAAUGCUACGGACAAAGGGCAGCAAACUCGCGAGAGCUAGCAAAUCCCAUAAACCGUGGCUCAGUUCAGAUCGUAGGCUGCAACUCGCCUACGUGAAGGAGGAAUCGCUAGUAAUCGCAGGUCAGCAUACUGCGGUGAAUACGUUCCCGGGCCUUGUACACACCGCCCGUCACACCAUGGAAGUUGGCCACGCCCGAAGUCGUUACUCCAACCCUUGUGGAGGAGGACGCCGAAGGUGGGGCUGAUGA
rnacentral:rRNA from 1 species